ensembl:lncRNA
UAUAUGAAUAUGUGUUCUCAUAUCCAUAAAAAUGUAAAAGGUUAUAUAAAAGAUAACGGAAGAUAUGAAGACAUAGAAAACGUAGUUAAUUUAUACAAAAAUAUUACACAAGAAAAAGAUUAUUAUUAUACAAAUAUAUUUAUGUUAAAGAUUGAUAAGUUAAAUAAAAAUAUUUUCACAUUGUUUAUGAAUAUAUGUAAAAAUGUAUAUUUUCCAAAAUUGUUACAUGUGAUAGAGAAUCCAAAAAUAUUCGAUCAUAAAUUAUAUGAAACUUUUAUUUAUUUGCACUUGUGUUAUUUAUAUAAAAAUUUGUGUUUUAAUAAUAAAUUGAAAAAUAAGAGGGACAGGAAAAUGUUAUCAGUUCAUUUAAUUUAUUUGUUAUGUUUGGUUAUAAAAAAAGGGAAUGAAAGUUUUAAAAAAAAAAAUAUAUGUUUUGUAAUACUGUUUUUGUUGAAAAAAAUACAAAAAAAUAGCAAAAAGUGUUUUAUUAGCGAUUUGAUUAGGGAUUGUGUCAGUGAAGAUGUUAAUGCCAAUGAUAGUGCUAAAAACGUGGGUAGUAGUAAAAAAAUGGGUAGUAGUAAAAAAAUGGGUAGUAGUAAAAAAGUGGGUAGUACCAACGCCGAUGAUAAUAACAGCGUUGACUGUAGUGUUAUUCAUGUGAACAAAUACAACAAACACCUAACCAAAUCAAAAAGAGAGGUAUUGUCCCUUUUAGAGAAUAUUUGUCAUUUCUUUAUAUAUUACAUGAUUAAUGAAAAGAUGCAAAAAAAAAUGAAGUGUGUAAGUAAAAACAUCAGUAGUAACAUAAAUUUGCUUGUUAAUGUUAUAAUAAAAAAUAAGUAUAUAACGGAUAAACUUAGUAACUUAUUAAAUGAAUUGUGUAAAGUAUAUUUUAGUAGGUGCUAUGUAGAUAACACUAUGUGUAUAAAUAAACAUAUAUUAAGCAAAAUUGUGUUUUAUUAUUUGGGUGUGAAAAGUGAUGAUGUGUUUGAUUGUAGUAAUGAAGCGGGAUAUACUACAUUUGAGGGUCGUAUAAUAAACACAAUAAAUAGUUAUAAUGUAGAAUCCUUGCACAAGGACAGAAUUUUUAAAAAAUUAAAAAAUGAUCAAACACAUUUGAUAAAUUAUGAUGAUAUAAAAAGAGAAAUAAAAAGUUUGAUUUUCGAGCAAUACAUAUGUAAUUCUUCUAUUGAAAGUUUUGAAAAACAAAAAAAAUACAUAAACAAAGAAAAUUACAUUGUUAUGGUUUUUUUAUAUUUAAUAAAAAAUGAAAAUGUUAACAUGUUUUUUCCACAUUUUGAAGAUUCAUAUAAGGAACUUAUAAAAAGCAAAACAUACGAGGAAAUAUAUACUAUAGUAAAUAAAAACACAUUUUCAAUAUCUUUUGCAGAAUAUUAUAUAGAUAAAAUUUUAAGUGUAUAUGAACAUGUAAAUAAUAAAAAUAAAACAAGAUUUCUUUUAUUAAGUACGAAAGAAAUAAAAAAUAAAUAUUUCUUAUCUGUAGCUUUAUCCAUUUUAUUUUAUUUUGGUAACCUUUUAUCAGAUAAAAAAAAAAUAAAACAGGCAUGGGUAGAUAAAAAUAAUAAAUAUAAUAAAUAUGUUAUACACGAAUUUCUUAAAAUGCUUUUUUUUUAUUUUUAUGACAAUUUUUAUAAAAAUAAUAUUGUAUCAAUAAAUAAAGAUAUGUUUAAUUGUUAUAAUAAAAUUGUUUUUUAUAUAUUUAAAAAUGUGUUUAAAGUGUUAAAAAAAAGAACCAAUAAUGUAACAAAUUACAAUAAUAACAAUUUGAAUGUUAAAGAGAUAGUAUAUCAAGAUUUUUACAAACAAAUAAACACAAAUGCUAGUGAAAAAGUGAAUGUUAGUUUUACAGAGCAAUGUAUAAAUAACAACAACAAUGGGUGUGACAUUUCUGUUAAUCUUGUUAAGUCUGAUCGAAAUGAAAAUGUUGACGAGGAUAACAAAUUAGAAGUUGGAGAUAGUGAUGGUGACAGUCGUGGCUUCAGUGAUAAUCGUGGCGUCAGUGACAAUCAUGGCGUCAGUGACAAUCAUGGCGUCAGUGNNNNNNNNNNUGGCGUCAGUGACAAUCAUGGCGUCAGUGACAAUCAUGGCGUCAGUGACAAUCGUGACAAGAUACAUGCCCAACCUAAUCAAACCCAAACCAAUGCCACUAAUCAUGCUUCUAAAAAAAGAACAGAUUGUGAUAUAUUAAUAGUGUUAUUAUUGUUUCUCGUUAAUAAGAAUAAGAAAAAGUUUGAUAUAGAAAAAUUAAUUGACAAUUCCAUAAAUUUAUUAACUGUUAAUAUAAGUUUGAACUGGGAGAAUCGAAAAAAUGGAGUAGUAUUACAUUACGAAUAUAUUUUAAACGAUGUAUUAUGUUUAUUAAAAACACAGAACAUAAAGAACGAUUGGUUGGGGGUUAAAAACAAGAAUAAGAAACUAUAUAUCUCAUUUUAUACAUAUUUUUUAUUAUAUAAAUACAUGAAAAUAAGAAAUUUGGAUAUAAUAGAAAUGAUUGAAUUUUUUUUUAAAAAUGAGAAUAUAUCGAAAUUCAUAUUAUCCGUAUUACAUAAGUAUAAAAAAGAAGAGAAACUGGUUUUAUUUCUUUUAAAAUUGAUACAUAUAUUUUAUGAAGAAUGGUAUAACGUAUGCAAAAAUAAUAAAAUUAUGCAGAGUAUACAUUUAAAAUCUUUAAAUAAAAAUUUGUUUAAUGAGUUAAAAAAAAUGUAUAACUACACAUUAACCGAUAUAGAUGUGCAUAUAAGAAAUAUAUUUUUUGUUGACAUAUAUAACUAUUUAAAAACAGUAACUAUUGAAAAUAUAACAAAUAAUACAAUGAUUGACGAAGUGUUAAAAUUUAAAGAAUUUAAUGCAGAAGAUAAUAAUAAUAAUAAUAAUAUAUGUAAUUGGUUAAAUUUGAACACUAGCAGGUUAAAUAAAACGUUGGUUAAUUUUGAUGUAAAUGAAAAUAUAAAAAGUAAACAUAACAUAGGAGAAAGAUAUGUGACGUUUUAUAAUAACAUGAAUAAUUUGAAUGAGGAUGAUUAUUGCUCUUGCGGUGGUGGUAUAGACGACACUACGUGUUAUAGCGACAUUAGGAAUAACAAAGAAAAUUACGACCCUUGCAUUGACACUAUAUCUGUUACUUGUGAUAACGAAAAUGUUAGUAAUAAAAAUAUAAAUUGUACUAAGUGUAACAAAUUGAUAGUAAACAACAGAAAUCAUAGGAAUUAUGAGAACACAUCGGUGGAUCAUGACUAUAACGAAAUAGAAGUAAUGCAAAAAGAAAAUUUUUUAAAUAGUAUAUAUAAUAAAAAUAAUUAUUGUAUAUUAAAUCAAAACAGUUAUAUUAAUAAGAAGUUAAAUGUUUUUAUAAGCGGGAAUAAAUUGAAAAAAAAUAGUUACGAUUACUUAUUUUUACUUUUUUUGACAGUUAGUAAAUUAUUUUUUUGUUUUAUAUUAAUGGCUGAGAAAAUGAGGAUAUUUUUUUACCAUUUUAGGAUUUUAUAUAAAAUAAAAAAUUCUAACAAGUUUUUUUUAAAUUAUGAUUUAUUAGAAAUGCACGAGGCAAAUAGGAGAAUAAAAAAUUAUAUUAGGACUUAUCCAGAUAUUACUUUUUAUAUAAAACCCGGACACCAAAUGGGUGAAGAAGAGGAAUACUCCAAUGAUAUUGUUGGUUCUUUUGGUUAUGUGAACGAACAGAAGGAUGAUGUUGCAAGAGAUAAUGAAUACAAUGUAAAUAUAGAAAAAGGAGAUGGUUACAAAGACACAUCAUCAAGUUGUGAUAAUUACAAAGAAAGUAGUAAUAUACAUAAAAAACGAAACACUAGUUUUAUCAGUUUUGAUGAAGAAAAAGAACAUUUUAUGCAUAUAAAACAUGGUGAAAAAUAUUCAGAUAGUUGCAGAUUUUGUAUUAAAUUAAAAAAGGUUCAUAAUAUAGAUAAUGCUUAUAGAGUAAUGCGUUUAUAUGAUUUUGAAGAAAAAGAGCAUAUUAAGAAUAUGUUAUUUUAUGGAAAAACUAUUCGAACUAAUAUAUUUUUUUUGUGCCCUUAUGAACAUAAUAUAUAUGAAAAUUUGAGAACAUAUGUAAACUAUGAUAUGGAUGACAGUAUUCAUGAUGGGACAGGUUGUAACACGGAAGGUGGUGAAGAUCAGAAGAAAAAGGACAAUAUGGAAGAACCCACUUGUACAAGCAACAACUUAAAAGUUAAAAAAAAAAAAUUCGAUAUGGAAAAAUUAAAUAAGAACUGCUAUAUUGACGAUUAUAAUUUGUUAUAUGGUAAAACUGAAAAAAGUAAACAUUAUAAAAAAAGUUAUAAAAAAUUGCUAGAAAGGUAUGUAUUAUAUGAUAUCGAUUUUGAAGGUAAAUGGAUAAAGAAAUUUUCCACAGGAGCACUGAAAUUGUUAAUAUUUUGUUUAAGUAGUAAUGACAUUAUUGUAAGGAUAAUAAGUUUAAAAGGUUUAUCUAUUUUUUUUAAUUUAUUAGAAAGUACUUUUUUUAUGUAUAAAAUUAAAAGUAAGAUAAAUUAUUAUAGUUUAGCUAAUAGCAUUAGUAAUAAAAUAAAUGAGCAUGAGGUCGGGAGUAAACCAAGUUUGUUACAUGAAAAAAACAGUUACAAAAACAGUAUGAUAAACAGUAUAAAUAAUAAGAAGAAAAAAACAUUGAUAAUCCCUUUUAAAGAAAUAUAUUUUUUAUAUUUCUAUUUAAAAAAAUUAAGAUUAACAGUAGAUCCAAAAUCUUAUUAUAUUAACCCAUGUGUAUGUUCUUAUUCAUUUACUUUUUUGAAUGAAAUUUUUUUGCAAUUUAGUAAGCAUGUAGCUAUAAAGCAUUUGUAUCAAUAUAAACAUUUUUCCUACCAUUUUAUUAAUGCUUAUAUAAAAAAAUUGGUAAAAACUUAUAACAUAACAUCAUUACAGUUGUUAAAUUUUUCCCGCAUUGCUAAUCAUGCUCUUUAUUCAUCAAAUUAUAAUUUUAUUAUUUAUAAAAAAAUAAAAUUCAAUAAUAUUUAUGUAAAAUCGAAAGAAAAGAAACAUAUGAUAGAGGAUGAUGAUGAAGGGUGUGUUAUAGAUCAAGAGAGAAACAACACAAAUGGUGAGGAGAAUGGUAAUAAUAUUGAGAAUGAUAAUGAUCCUUAUGUCGAUCAAACAAUGUCACACGAUUUGAACAAUACAGAUGACUUUAUAGACCAUGAUAAUAUGUAUACGGCAUUUAAUCAAGGACAAAAAAAUAAAAUGAUUGACAAAAGGUUUUUUGCAACGUCAAAUAUAAAUACAAACAUGUUACAUGAUAUUGGAGAGCAUGACGAUUUUGAUGAGGGCUAUAUUGAUAAUUACAAUAACUAUAAUAACGGUCAAAACUAUAAUAANNNNNNNNNNAAUAACGGUCAAAACUACAAUGAAGACGAAAACGAGGACGAAGACGAUAACAAAGUAGAUAAUGAAAAAGAGGCUAAAGAAAUUAUUGAUAAAAUGUAUAAUAUUCAACUCAGUCAUAUAAAGGCAAUAAAAGUAAUUUACAGUGUUUUUUUAUACAAGUAACGUUUUUGAAAUAUAUAUGUCUAUGUUUUUAAAUAAAUAUAUAAAUUAUUUUCUGUUAAAUAAUUUU